UAUAGAUAUUGUUAUAGGAUAUCUCAUGGGUACAGGGCUGCUGCAUUCUAUUUUCUUUUUUUUUUUUAGAGAAGCACAUUGAAGCAUUUGUUUUGAAAAACAAACUUGGAUUUUAAAAUGACAACAUGGACUUCCCAAACGUAUAAGAAAAAAAAAGGCCUUGAGGAAGAUACGUUAUCUGACAGAAAGGCUCACGGCCUCAGAGACAGACUGAAGACGCUAAACAUGAGAAUACUAGGAAAGAAGUUGGCCUGUUCUAUAGGUGAGAGAGAUUAUUGUUUUUUCUUUUCAUUUCAAAAUGUCUUCGGGUGA
rnacentral:lncRNA from 1 species